rnacentral:rRNA from 1 species
CCUACGGGGGGCAGCAGUGAGGAAUAUUGGUCAAUGGACGAGAGUCUGAACCAGCCAAGUAGCGUGAAGGAUGACUGACCUAUGGGUUGUAAACUUCUUUUAUAUGGGAAUAAAAUGUUCCACGUGUGGGAUUUUGUAUGUACCAUAUGAAUAAGGAUCGGCUAACUCCGUGCCAGCAGCCGCGGUAAUACGGAGGAUCCGAGCGUUAUCCGGAUUUAUUGGGUUUAAAGGGAGCGUAGGUGGAUUGUUAAGUCAGUUGUGAAAGUUUGCGGCUCAACCGUAAAAUUGCAGUUGAAACUGGCAGUCUUGAGUACAGUAGAGGUGGGCGGAAUUCGUGGUGUAGUGGUGAAAUGCUUAGAUAUCACGAAGAACUCCGAUUGCGAAGGCAGUUCACUGGACUGCAACUGACACUGAGGCUCGAAAGUGUGGGUAUCAAACAGGAUUAGAUACCCGAGUAGUC